rnacentral:rRNA from 1 species
CCUACGGGAGGCAGCAGUGGGGAAUAUUGGGCAAUGGGCACAAGCCUGACCCAGCAACGCCGCGUGAAGGAAGAAGGCUUUCGGGUUGUAAACUUCUUUUAAGAGGGAAGAGCAGAAGACGGUACCUCUUGAAUAAGCCACGGCUAACUACGUGCCAGCAGCCGCGGUAAUACGUAGGUGGCAAGCGUUGUCCGGAUUUACUGGGGGUAAAGGGCGUGCAGCCGGGAAGACAAGUCAGAUGUGAAAUCCCGCGGCUCAACCGCGGAACUGCAUUUGAAACUGUUUUUCUUGAGUACCGGAGAGGUUAUCGGAAUUCCUUGUGUAGCGGUGAAAUGCGUAGAUAUAAGGAAGAACACCAGUGGGGAAGGCGGAUGACUGGACGGCAACUGACGGUGAGGCGCGAAAGCGUGGGGAGCAAACAGGAUUAGAUACCCCUGUAGUC